ensembl:lncRNA
CAGAGCUGUUGGCAGUGUCACCACCCUUUUCACUCAGAUUAUCACCACUCAAGGAACAGCUCCUUGAUCUCUGGAGGAAGGAGUUUGAAGCAGCUUAAAGAUGUCCAGUGAGAGGAGCCCAGAGGUGGUCGGCUGCGGUGCCUCCAUCAUGAAGAACGUCUGGGAGAUCAGAAUGCGAGAGUAUGAACUGAAGAUAAAACUGGAGCAGGAACGGAUACUGAAGAGUGCUCUGCCCUCAAUUAACCAGGACUGGGCAAAUCGAAUGGUUGCUAAAGUGGUAGGAUACAAAAGGGUGGAAAGGAAAAUUAAGCCACCUGAGGCUCAGAUAGACAACAAUAUCUGGAAGAGCAAACAGCCCCAGCUUCCUCGUACUCUUCCUCAUGUCACAGGCUCAGGUCCACUCAGCAGACCAAGAAGCCACAGCAAAGGCCUCUCUACUGCAGUUCCCAACCUUAAAGACAAAAAGGCUCAGGACAAAAAAAUAAAUAGGCUGCAAUUACUCAUGUUCAUAACUCAAACUCAACCUUCCACUUUGGUGUGGGGGAAGUCAUGGAAGUACAAUAAAUCCUUGCGAUCACCAACAGAGAGCGCCAUAGACUGGGGCCAGUGCUGGAUGUUUGCGACCCAGCAACCUUGCUCUGAAACUGGGAAACGUUGGUCAAAUGAGCCAAAUGUGAUGAAUCCACAGAACCUUAAUGUCUGGAUAAAACCUGACAAUAGGAAGAUGGAUUCACAGCAGCUAAAUUUGAGUCUUCCCAUUGAAGAUUGGCAGAUGUCCUGGAAAAAAUCUGAUCCAUGCAGCAAAGAAGAUACAAAUGGAGAGAAUAUCCCCAAAUCUGGAUUUUUCACAUUGCUGCUUGAGACUGAGCACCACGAUGAAGUCUUGCACUCAUCUGAAUGGAGUGAGUCAUGGAGAUCAACCAAGUCAGCAAUUCAGCAGGAUCCCAUCAGUGUUUCAGAUGAUGGUAUAUUGAAUGAGUGUGUUGCUAGGAAGCAAGACAACAAUCAAGAGAUAAGCUCCAAGUGGGAAGAAUGUUGGAGGCUUGUAAACCACCAUAGCUGCAAAAAAUCUGAGGUGCCUCAACACAAAAAAUCUCAGAGGCCAGAGUGGGCAAACUCAUGGCGAGUAGCUACGGUGGUCGUUAACAAGUCUCAGAAUUCAAAUCCCAUUUUGAGAAAAGAUGAUGACUUUAAUGACCACAACCAACACAAAGAGCCCUGUUUCCACAAAAUCAUGCCUAUGUCACAUGAGCAUAAAGACAACUAUCUAUACUUGCAGCACUGCAAAGAAUUUAAUGGAGUCUCUGAGUGGAGCAAGUCAUGGCAGGUGACCAAAAACAACUCAGAACCGUGUGAGGAAAUAAAGAAAGUCCUUAAGGCUUUGCCACCAAGGGCAGAAACUGCUUUGGAGUCUCAGUUGUUGGACAACAACACUAAGGUGUAUUUUUCAACUUCAGAAGAAGCAGAUUUACAGUAUGAAAAACUGAAACACAACAUAAUAUAUCAGCCAAAGAGAGAAUUCAGCCAGUCUAAGUUAUUUCUUCUGAAAUAUUUAGAAAAGAAUCUGCCUUUCUCAGAACUGAGGGACUCUUGGAGGACAAUAAAGCAUAGAAUGACGUUGGAGAGAAGAAGACUGAGGAUAAACCUACUCAGCUCUUUCAAAGAUUCACAAAAGGGGGGUUAUAUGAAGCCAGCUGCUGCAGAGUGGAAUGACUCAUCGAAGUUUACAUGCCAGCCCUUGUACCAAGUGCCUGACCUGUGGCAGCAGGGUUGGUCCACCCCAGCUCAAAACCGUGUAGCUCGAGCAAAGUACCAGAGCCACAUUGUACUUAUGGCAUUCCCUAGUAGUGAGGGAACUAGGGAGUGGUGUUUGAAGGAAUCGUGGAAGUUCUCAAGAAACCAGAAUCGAUCAGAUCCUGGACAGAAAAAGGUGCAAAUCCACCAAGGAAAUGGUACUUCUCACAAUCCUGACAAAUCAUGGACACAAGGGAGACAUGUCACUGCAAUUUCAGACUGGGAGGCAUCCUGGAUGGUCUCAGAGACUCAGUUGCAUCAUGAUAAACCCUCCUUAACUCAGUGGAGAGAAGCCUGGAAGUGGUCGAUGUACCACACACACUGGACUGAAUCAAUGCCUAGAGAGAACUGGGUGAAUGAAUCAUUGGAAAUCGAACACCUAAAGAGGAAGACUUCCAUGGAAAGAAUCAAAGCUAAAAUGAGCUGGUCUUUUGACAGCCAGAUUUUCAGGGAAAGAUACCCUGAGAAAGACUGGAGCCCUUCAUGGAAAGCUGCAUCUCUUUUAAGUCAUCAGCCAAGUCAUUUUGGAUCUUCAGAAAUAGUUAGGCAAAGUAUAAGCAACACUAUUCAACAGCAACAUGCCAGUGCACACGAGCAUGGAUGCAAGUGGGGAAAGUCAUUCAGACUUGCCAACCCAAUGCCACAAGUGGAAAAAUCCUGGCUGGAGUCCCCUUCUAACCAUCAGUAUACAGUCGAAUGGUCAAGAGAAAAGAAAAUACAAAAUAACAUCAGAAACAUGUGUGACAACAAUACACCAAACUACAGCCUUUGGAAAAACUCCCAUGAGUUUCUGCAGAGUGCCAAGGUGCAUAACAAAGAGAAAAGAAAGCUAAAGGGAACCAGUGACCCAAGGGUCAUCAUAACAAAAACAGCCAAAACAAGAAGGCAUUUGUACUCCAACAAUGACAAGGACAAACAAUUAGAAAAGAAGUGGGCAGGAUGCCACCUCUUGGGCAAAACCCAACCACGUUCAAGGAAAGGUAGUUCUGAAAAAAAGCUAAAUCCUGAGGAUAAAACCAAUGAAAAGUUCCUUGAAGAGUGGGAAGAAUCUUGGAGAUUCUUGGUUAGGCCUGAUAGUUUGAAAAAGCAGAUGUCCUUCAAGUCGCUGUCAGGUUGGAAUGAAUCCUGGAAGUUCCUAUUUCCACCAUACAAACCUCUCAAUGGCCCAAAAGCAAAAUAAGUAGAACAUGACUAUGUAGUUCAUUAGAUUUGUGAAUCUCUGUCUUUCAGAUUAUAUGCAAACCCUUAACUAACAAGCUAAUGG